CUCUGUGUGUGGAGUAAAGGUGGUCUAGGAUUUUUCUUUCUGUGGAUGCACAUUUGACAUGCUGGUAAAAAUUUGGUAAAACUGAUUUAUGUUUGCCUGCAUUAAAGUCCCCGGCCACUAGGAGUGCCACUUCUGGGUGAGCAUUUUCUUCUUUGCUUAUGGCCUUAUAGAGUUGGUUGAGUGCCAGGUUUGUUCUGUGGUGGUAAAUAGACAGCUACGAAUAAUAUAGAUGAGAACUCUCUUGGAAGAUAGUGUGAUCUACAGCUUAUCGUAAGGUACUCUACCUCAGGUGAGCAAUACCUCGAGACUUCUUUAAUAUUAGACAUCGCGCACCAGCUGUUAUUGACAAAUAGACGCACACAUCCGCCCCUCGUCUUACCAGAGGUAGCGUCUCUGUUCUGCCGGUGUAUGGAAAAUCCCGCUAGCUCUAUAUUGUCCGUAUCGUCAUUCAGCCACAUCUCGGUGAAACAUAAGAGGUUACAGUCUUUAAUGUCCCGUUGGUAGGAUAAUCUUAAUCGUAGGUCAUCGGUUUUAUUUUCCAAUGAUUGCACGUUAGCAAGAAGAACGGAUGGCAGUGGGAGUUUACUCGCUCGCCUACGGAUUCUCAGAAGGCUGCCCGAUCUGCGGCCCCUUUUCCAGCGUCUUUUCUUCACACAAAAGACGUGGAUCUGGGCCUGUUCUAGUGAAAGCAGGAUAUCCUUCUCGUAGGACUCGUUAAAGGAAAAAGUUUCUUCCAGUCCGCAAUGAGUAAUCGCUUUUCUGAUGUCCAGAAGUUAUUUUCGGUCAUAAGAGACAGUAGCAGCAACAUUAUGUACACAGCCUACCAGCCAAAACAACAACUGGUGGAAUAGCGCUACCUGCAGCAUCCAACUCAUAGGUCUCCAACAAAAGGAAUCUGCAUCCACAAGUGCUGUGCAGUCUCAGGGGAUAAUUGCAAUGAUGUCUGCCUUCCAGACAAAGGUACUGAUGAAGCUAGACAUUAUAAUUGAGAACCAGCAAGAGCAACUGAGGCUCCUUAUUGCUACAAGGCCAUCGACCACAGCUGAGGACCUCGACAUUCUGCCAUCACUGUUAAGACUCUGUGGCUGACCUGAAGCUACUGUGUAAGCGGAUCUCAACAGAGGAGAAUUUUCACAAACAAUUGACCACAGCACCUGAAAUAAUGGAGAGCGACGGAAGCAUGAGCCCAAGAGACAGAUGCCCAAGAGACAGAAGCCCAAGAGACAGAAGCCCAAGAGACAGAAGCCCAAGAGAGAGAAGGAGCACAAGCACAGAGUCGACCCUCAUGCUUUUUAACUAAAGAGGACAUUUUGUAACUCCAGUGAUUUUAUUAAAUAUGUCCAGUGGUAAAAAAGGGAAAUACUAGGGAAAUAGUAAUGUAAUUAGUUGCUAAUCCAAUUAUAGUUAUUCAAGAGUUAGUAAUUAACAGUUUUAUAUUGUAUUUUGUAUUUCCUUGUUGGUUAAAGAAAAUCUAAAUAUAUAGUUGGAAUUUCCUGUCUUCGUUAGUUGAAGCCAUCAUCGCAUAUAACACCUAUUACCAAUGUUAACCAACGUUUGUUAAACAUUGGCGAACUUGGAUGGACGUUUGAAACCCAACCAAACCAAUGUUGUAAAAUACACCUAUUACCAAUGUUUGCCAACAUUUGAUAAACGUUGUUGGAUGUUAUGUUUAAAAAGGAACUUAUGGCCAACGUAAAUUACACUAAUACCAACGUUUACCAAACGUUGGCAAAUGUUUACAAAAUGUAAUCUGUCCCCUACACUUUAACCAAAACCGAACGUUUAUCUGAAUGCAUUCAGAAUGUUUAGACAACCAAUCCAACACCUAAAUAACCCGUUUAUAAAACAUAUUUUUGCUACCUGGGUAGAAACAUGUGGGAGGAUUUGACAUCAUAGCGCUGCAUCAUGACUGCAACAUAGGGACCAGAGAAAUUCAUGUUCAUCACUCCCCACAUUAGGUUCAUCAGAUGCUCCAAAAAAAUAUGUUUCUGCAAAAGCCAAUCAGAUAGUUAGCUAGCUACGUUUUUCCUCGUUGGACCUGUAUUUACAAUGUAUCCAAUUUUGGUUUGUGUGGUUCUUGGUUUAGCUUUCUGUAACUUCGGUCAGCAUGUGUAGGCACAUACUGUAUUGCGUCAUGAUUGCAAGGUGUCCAAAUAUCAUUUCCAACUGACCCAUUAUCUGGUUUUAAUUUAUAUUCUAAAAUGCUCUUCUAACCAAUCAGAAAUGACUAUUCGACAAUGCUGUGCUAAAAACUGGACAGGUCAAAGUAAAAUGGACAAUAUCUAGAAGGGUAAUUCUGGCUAGUUAUAACUUCUGUCUGGGAGUUUCACCCUGUGGGCUAAAUUAUCAGAGUAAUCAGUGAUUUAAAGGUUGUAUUAGUACAUUUUUGAUGAGCUGCGUCAUAGUGAAAAAUAAAAUUCUUCUGCAUUUCC